rnacentral:rRNA from 1 species
CACCCCGCCUGAGGAGUACGGCCGCAAGGCUAAAACUUAAAGGAAUUGACGGGGACCCGCACAAGCGGUGGAGCAUGUGGUUUAAUUCGAAGAUACGCGAAAAACCUUACCAGGUCUUGACAUACCAAUGAUCGCUUUUGUAAUGAAAGCUUUUCUUCGGAACAUUGGAUACAGGUGGUGCAUGGUCGUCGUCAGUUCGUGUCGUGAGAUGUUGGGUUAAGUCCCGCAACGAGCGUAACCCUUGUUAUUAGUUGCCAGCAUUUAGUUGGGCACUCUAAUGAGACUGCCGGUGAUAAACCGGAGGAAGGUGGGGACGACGUCAGAUCAUCAUGCCCCUUAUGACCUGGGCAACACACGUGCUACAAUGGGAAGUACAACGAGUCGCAAACCGGCGACGGUAAGCUAAUCUCUUAAAACUUCUCUCAGUUCGGACUGGAGUCUGCAACUCGACUCCACGAAGGCGGAAUCGCUAGUAAUCGCGAAUCAGCAUGUCGCGGUGAAUACGUUCCCGGGUCUUGUACACACCGCCCGUCAAAUCAUGGGAGUCGGAAGUACCCAAAGUCGCUUGGCUAACUUUUAGAGGCCGGUGCCUAAGGUAAAAUCGAUGACUGGGAUUAAGUCGUAACAAGGUAGCCGUAGGAGAACCUGCGGCUGGAUCACCUCCUUUCUAAGGA